GACCAUGCAGAGGACUCAUCGCGACGACACCAACGGUUUGGUUAAGUGGGUUCUCUUGUGUGUGCGUCUGUGUGUGAAUGGCAGGCCUGUCGUAUGAUUGUGUGUGUGUGUGCGUUGGCGUUAUGCCUUCGCACUAUUAUUUUGUUAGGAUGUAUUUUUGUGUGUGAACUUUUUGCACGUAAUCUUUUUUUACACCCAUAGCUAGCGUUUGUUUGUGUGGCAGUGUUCCGGGAGAUGGACGCCGGGGGACAUGGGCUUGGGGAGGCGCACAUGACCUCCUCUGUCCGUGACCUCUUCAGCUGGGGAGACCGUGUGUUGCCCCGCCUGGAGAGACACGUUGAUGGAGGUGGCCGUGUGUGUCACCCUUUGCCUGUAUCCUCUGGCGCCCAGAGGCGCGUAAGUGGAGAGCAUCGGCGCAGCGCGGGAGCAGCACGUCAGGGUGUAGGGUGUUUGUUUAGCUGGUGUAGGGUGUUAGGGUGUUAGGUGUAACAACGGUUGGCUCUUUCACAGAACGGGUGUGAUUCCGUUCUGCGUUUGAGUCUUCCACCUUCAGACGGUCUCCCUCCGAGAUGUCUGAAGUUUUUUUGUCGGUUUUCUCCGUAGGAGGAAGCCGACUCUAGCUACUCUGGCCUCUCUUCCGGGGGUCAGGGCGGUCGGGCUCUGCUUGGCCAGGCGUUGCCUUUCGCGUUGUCUCCGCCGACGUUUUGCCAGACUCUUCCGUAAGGUUGAGCCUGGCUUUUUUAUUAGGUGGAUCAGGCUGCCUUCUUCCAAGGAGUCUGAUGGGAGUGGAGUCUUUUUUUUGGUGUAUGUCUGUGGGUGCUU